CAGUUACUGUAUUACAACCGUUUUCUGGAUUUUUUAUGUCUUAUAAACAAAUUUGAAAAUUUGUGUUUUUACUAGUUUUUCUUGCUAGGUAUCUAAUAAAUUAGAAUUGAUAUCAUUUAGUUAAAUUACAAAUAAAUAUACAUUUUUUAUUAGCAUAAAAUAUUUCAAUACAAUACUGAUUACAUUAAAAACUCAAAAGUACCAUUGUCAUUAAAAUGGUGUUCUUGAAAGAUGUCAUGACAUAAGAUAACUCUUUACCGAUCAAUUUGCUGUGACACACAAUUGAACUGGAACAAAAGGAAAACACCUUUUUUAUGUUAUACCUGUCUAAGAUAAUCAUUGGUAAGAUAAUUUUAUUGAUGCUUAAUUAUUUUAACAGUUUUUAAAUAAUUUAGUAUAAUCAUUCAUAUUUUUAUAUAAAUUCUGUUUUCAAAAAUGUCAAAGAUUCAAAAGAGUCUGACAUUAUUACUUAUAUCAAAACCUGGAUGAGACCUGCAGAAGCUAGAUUUUAUAAAAAGUAAAUGAAUAUAGUAUGUUAAAUUUGCUGUUAUUUAUAAAAAUAGUAAUUUACCAUUAUAUAUUAAAUAAACAUUAUCUAUUAUUUGUUCUAGUAUACCCAAAAAAAUAUCUCAAGUUAUCAUCCACUGGAUAUAAAAUACAUAUACUGAAGUAUAUAAAGAAUAAUUUGUGGUUAUCCAUUAGGAUUAGAUAAUAUAAGACAUCUCAUGAAUAACUGUUACAAACAACCAAUGGAUAUUGAAAUAGCAUAUCUAAAAAUGCCUAAAAAACAAACAUUUAGAUAUCUUUUAAAUAUCCAUUGGAAGUCAUAAAUAUUUAAUAAUGAAUAUUAUGGAUAUUAGAAAAGUGCAUCCCCUGUAUAACCACCGAAUAUAUUAGUGGUGUGUGGGCAUCAAUAUUUCAUCGACCAUCUUCUAUGAUAGUGUCUAAAUAAGCUUUUAAUUUUAAAAUUUUUUCUCUUUUUUAUAAAUGUAUUAAUACCCCUUGUCGCGGCUAUUAGUUAUUAGCGCUCUAUAUCUAUUCAAUGAAUUUGAUAUCAAUACUUUACUGAUAACAGGGUCUUGUUAUGUAUCCUGUGUAUAUCUUUGUGACUUAAAUAUUAAAAACUGUGCUAUAAAAUUGAUAUUAAUUUUUUAAUCGCUUUAUUCAAAAAUGAAAAUAAUUAAGUUGAAAUAUCGUUCAAAUUUGACUGAUGAUCAUCUCACAGAAUUACUGAGAACUGCCCUUACAUAAAUGCAACCAGAUCUUUAGAAGCUUACUAAAAAAGUAGACACAAAAUAAUACCAUGUAAACAAAUUUAGCUUAGUGUUUAUUUUUUUAUUUAUUAUUCAUAUUAAUUAAUUAUGUAUAUUUGUUUAAUAAUCUAAAAAUGUAAAUGAAAAAAUUAACAUUCUUAGUAAUAAUAAGAAAAUUUUGGUUUAUGUUAAUAACUCUAGCCGCAAAGGAAAGUUUCAUUUAAACUUGUUAAAGUAUAAUAUACUAAGUUGUAGUUAAAUAUAAUCUAUGAUUAUAGCUACCAAUUUACAAUGACAAUACAAUAUUCAGAAUUUCUAAAUUGUAACUGUUCUCUAUUUUAAUGUAUUUAUAGAAAUAGCUUAUAAAUGUAUUGAUUAUAUCAAUUUUUGUUUAAAUAUUUUAAUUUUUUAAUAUACAUAAUAACUAAAAUAUUUCAUAACUUUCAUCAAAAAAUUUAAAAAUAGUAAAUCAAAGUAAAAAUACAAAAGUUUGAAUCUAAAAAAAAUUAUUUUAAUUUAAUUUAUAAUAGUGAACUAGUGAAUUGUAAAUUUGAAUCAAUUAUAUUUUAAUUGCAGGUGGAGUAUCGAUAAAAUAUAAUUUCAAUUUUAUCAUUUUCAAACUUAUUUUUUUUUUUCAGAACUAAUAAUCAACGAAAAACCAUAGAUACAGAAAUUUCAC